rnacentral:rRNA from 1 species
UAGGGAAUAUUGGUCAAUGGAUGCAAGUCUGAACCAGCCAUGCCGCGUGCAGGAAGAAGGCCUUCUGGGUUGUAAACUGCUUUUGCCAGGGGAUAAAAUUUCCUUGCGAGGAAAAUUGAAGGUACCUGGUGAAUAAGCCACGGCUAACUACGUGCCAGCAGCCGCGGUAAUACGUAGGUGGCAAGCGUUGUCCGGAUUUAUUGGGUUUAAAGGGUGCGUAGGCGGUCGUUUAAGUCAGUGCUGAAAUACUCCAGCUUAACUGGAGGGGUGGCAUUGAUACUGGACGACUUGAGUGAAGUCGAGGUAGGCGGAAUUGACGGUGUAGCGGUGAAAUGCUUAGAUAUCGUCAAGAACACCGAUAGUGAAGACAGCUUACUAGACUUCAACUGACGCUGAGGCACGAAAGUGUGGGGAUCAAACAGG